rnacentral:rRNA from 1 species
AGAGUUUGAUCAUGGCUCAGGAUGAACGCUAGCGGCAGGCUUAAUACAUGCAAGUCGAGGGGCAGCACGGGUAGCAAUACCUGGUGGCGACCGGCAAACGGGUGCGGAACACGUACGCAACCUUCCCAUAACUGGUGAAUAGCCCUCCGAAAGGAGGAUUAAUACACCGUAACAUAAUGAAGUGGCAUCACUUUAUUAUUAUAGGCAGCAAUGUCGGUUUUGGAUGGGCGUGCGCCUGAUUAGGUAGUUGGCGGGGUAACGGCCCACCAAGCCUGCGAUCAGUAACUGGUGUGAGAGCACGACCAGUCACACGGGCACUGAGACACGGGCCCGACUCCUACGGGAGGCAGCAGUAAGGAAUAUUGGUCAAUGGACGAAAGUCUGAACCAGCCAUGCCGCGUGAAGGAUUAAGGCCCUCUGGGUUGUAAACUUCUUUUAUCUGGGACGAAAAAAGGGUAUUCUUACUCACUUGACGGUACCAGAGGAAUAAGCACCGGCUAACUCCGUGCCAGCAGCCGCGGUAAUACGGAGGGUGCAAGCGUUAUCCGGAUUUACUGGGUUUAAAGGGUGCGUAGGUGGGUCUGUAAGUCAGUGGUGAAAUCUCCGAGCUUAACUCGGAAACUGCCAUUGAUACUAUAGGUCUUGAAUUAUCUGGAGGUAAGCGGAAUAUGUCAUGUAGCGGUGAAAUGCUUAGAUAUGACAUAGAACACCAAUUGCGAAGGCAGCUUACUACGGAUAUAUUGACACUGAGGCACGAAAGCGUGGGGAUCAAACAGGAUUAGAUACCCUAGUAGUCC